UGAAGAACUUCCUCAGCCCUGAAGGAGACCAAGCUGGGUUAGAGUGGCACUAUUCAUGCCUGCCUUAUUUAGAAAAUACAGUAACUGAACAAUAUGGAAAACAUUGGAGUUUUGGCCACAGGACUGGGGCAUUGUCCUGAAUGAGCGAGCCCACUGCUGAGCAUGCUAAGUGGCAGAUCCACUACAUCACUGAGCUGGUAGAUAUCUUCUCCUCUCCUAACUCGUCAACUUUGGGCCACACAAACCCCUGUGCAUGUGUAUGUCUACUUAGAGUGAAUUCAUUGUAAGGUGGGCUUCCAAGAGAAGCACCUUUCCUGCCUAGAAGUGUCCCUCUAGGGGAGGAACAGGGUGGGACUAACGGGAACCAAAAACCUUCGAGUACGUACUGUAAAGUCAUCUUGUUUUGUAAAUAUCUUCCUUGCUUACUCUCAUUAAACUCUGGAUGCUUAAUAUCCAA